AACGAACGCUGGCGGCGUGCCUAACACAUGCAAGUCGUGCGAGAAAGUUCCUUCGGGAGCGAGUAAAGCGGCGCACGGGUGAGUAACACGUAGGUAACCUGCCCCCCAGUCUGGAACAACUAGAGGAAACUCUAGCUAAUGCCGGAUAAGACCACGGCCCCCUCGGGGGCUGCGGCCAAAGAUGGCCUCUACUUGUACGCUAUCGCUGAGGGAUGGGCCUGCGGGCCAUUAGCUUGUUGGUGAGGUAACGGCUCACCAAGGCUGUGAUGGCUAGCUGGUCUGAGAGGAUGACCAGCCACACUGGGACUGAGACACGGCCCAGACUCCUACGGGAGGCAGCAGUGGGAAUAUUGCGCAAUGGGCGAAAGCCUGACGCAGCGACGCCGCGUGGG
rnacentral:rRNA from 1 species